rnacentral:rRNA from 1 species
AGAUAUAUGGAAGAACACCAGUGGCGAAGGCGGCUGUCUGGUCUGCAACUGACGCUGAGGCUCGAAAGCAUGGGUAGCGAACAGGAUUAGAUACCCUGGUAGUCCAUGCCGUAAACGAUGAGUGCUAGGUGUUGGAGGGUUUCCGCCCUUCAGUGCCGGAGCUAACGCAUUAAGCACUCCGCCUGGGGAGUACGACCGCAAGGUUGAAACUCAAAGGAAUUGACGGGGGCCCGCACAAGCGGUGGAGCAUGUGGUUUAAUUCGAAGCUACGCGAAGAACCUUACCAGGUCUUGACAUCUUGCGCUAACCUUAGAGAUAAGGCGUUCCCUUCGGGGACGCAAUGACAGGUGGUGCAUGGUCGUCGUCAGCUCGUGUCGUGAGAUGUUGGGUUAAGUCCCGCAACGAGCGCAACCCUUGUUACUAGUUGCCAGCAUUAAGUUGGGCACUCUAGUGAGACUGCCGGUGACAAACCGGAGGAAGGUGGGGACGACGUCAGAUCAUCAUGCCCCUUAUGACCUGGGCUACACACGUGCUACAAUGGACGGUACAACGAGUCGCAAGCUCGCGAGAGUAAGCUAAUCUCUCAAAGCCGUUCUCAGUUCGGACUGUAGGCUGCAACUCGCCUACACGAAGUCGGAAUCGCUAGUAAUCGCGGAUCAGCAUGCCGCGGUGAAUACGUUCCCGGGCCUUGUACACACCGCCCGUCACACCAUGGGAGUUUGUAACGCCCAAAGUCGGUGGCCUAACCUUUAUGGAGGGAGCCGCCUAAGGCGGGACAGAUGACUGGGGUGAAGUCGUAACAAGGUAGCCGUAGGAGAACCUGCGGCUGGAUCACCUCCUUUCUAAGGAA